UCUGUGUUUUGUGCGUUGUGCCUUUUUAAAUUGUAACCGUUUUUGGUUCAUUUCGUAUAUCAGUUUCGAUUUCAUACUUUUUGUUGAACCGUUUGUUUUCGAUAUUUCUUUUUUUGAGAGUGCAUAUAGUUAAUUCGUUGAUGGUGCAAAAUAUGAAGUUUAAUCAAGUUUUUAAACACCCACAUUCGAAUGAAGUGCUUUAAAUGUGCAAAAAAAAUGAAGAACAAUACGAAUGGAAUUAAAUUAUGACGCCAAACGAAGUGUAGAACUUAGCGGCUAUUGUCUCAUCACAUUCGACGAAAAUAUUAUUUUCAUUUUGAAUAAAUGAGUUUUGUGAUAUCCAUGAUAAAUAAAAAUAUCAGAAAAAGAGUCUUAUUGAAUGUGCAAAAGAGUCAGAGAUUCAUAAUCCAAAAUAAAAGAGAUAAUUCAACUGUAAAACGUGCAAUGAAUAUGUGGUAAUAUCAUUCGUACAAACCUCCACGAAAGUUCCUUCGAUCGUGAAACUUUAUUUGGUACUGGAUUAUUAUGCACGUGUGACUUCGUAUAAAUAAAAUAUACGAGAUAAAACGAGGAGAUUGUCUGUUUAAAUUACAAAUGAUAACCAUCAAUCGAGUUAAAUGUAACUGCAAUAUGUCUGGAUAUUUUUAAUGGAAACACAUUAGCGAAUAGACUAAUCGAGAGUAGAGCUUGGAUGAAUUGAAUAGAAAAAGUCUAUGGUGAUUAAAAUUUCUUUCUUCAAAGUUUGCAAGGAAAAUUGACUGAAAUCAGUGGGAAUAUUGAAGAAGAGUUUGAACGCUGGAGUCACUUCGACGUCAAUCCCGCUUGAUAGCGGCGCAGCGAGAGCGAAAAGUCAAGUUCUCGCAAUGGAAGGCCGAUGGUCAGAGUAUAUCAACAGGAG